ACCGAACCGACUAAUGUUGAAAAAUUAGCGGAUGAUCUGUGGCUGGGGGUGAAAGGCCAAUCAAACCGGGAGAUAGCUGGUUCUCCCCGAAAGCUAUUUAGGUAGCGCCUCGUGAAUUCAUCUCCGGGGGUAGAGCACUGUUUCGGCUAGGGGGCCAUCCCGGCUUACCAACCCGAUGCAAACUGCGAAUACCGGAGAAUGUUAUCACGGGAGACACACGGCGGGUGCUAACGUCCGUCGUGAAGAGGGAAACAACCCAGACCGCCAGCUAAGGUCCCAAAGUCAUGGUUAAGUGGGAAACGAUGUGGGAAGGCCCAGACAGCCAGGAUGUUGGCUUAGAAGCAGCCAUCAUUUAAAGAAAGCGUAAUAGCUCACUGGUCGAGUCGGCCUGCGCGGAAGAUGUAACGGGGCUAAACCAUGCACCGAAGCUGCGGCAGCGAACGUAUCACCCAAGACAACUUUACGGAGUUGACGAUUGACGGAGCGAAGCGACGUCAAAGCGUUCAUUAAAGUCGAGUUGGCUUAGGGAUACGUUCGUUGGGUAGGGGAGCGUUCUGUAAGCCUGUGAAGGUGUGUCGUGAGGCAUGCUGGAGGUAUCAGAAGUGCGAAUGCUGACAUAAGUAACGAUAAAGCGGGUGAAAAGCCCGCUCGCCGGAAGACCAAGGGUUCCUGUCCAACGUUAAUCGGGGCAGGGUGAGUCGACCCCUAAGGCGAGGCCGAAAGGCGUAGUCGAUGGGAAACGGGUUAAUAUUCCCGUACUUGGUGUUACUGCGAAGGGGGGACGGAGAAGGCUAUGUUGGCCGGGCGACGGUUGUCCCGGUUUAAGCGUGUAGGUGUGUGUUCCAGGUAAAUCCGGUUCACUUUAACACUGAGGCGUGACGACGAGGCACUACGGUGCUGAAGCAACAAAUGCCCUGCUUCCAGGAAAAGCCUCUAAGCAUCAGGUAACAUCAAAUCGUACCCCAAACCGACACAGGUGGUCAGGUAGAGAAUACCAAGGCGCUUGAGAGAACUCGGGUGAAGGAACUAGGCAAAAUGGUGCCGUAACUUCGGGAGAAGGCACGCUGACACGUAGGUGAAGUGAUUUACUCAUGGAGCUGAAGUCAGUCGAAGAUACCAGCUGGCUGCAACUGUUUAUUAAAAACACAGCACUGUGCAAACACGAAAGUGGACGUAUACGGUGUGACGCCUGCCCGGUGCCGGAA
rnacentral:rRNA from 1 species